rnacentral:rRNA from 1 species
UACGGAGGGUGCGAGCGUUGUCCGGAAUCACUGGGCGUAAAGAGCGCGUAGGCGGACAUUUAAGUUAGAGGUGAAAGCCCAGGGCUCAACCCUGGAAUAGCCUUUAAUACUGGAUGUCUUGAGUUCGGGAGAGGUGAGUGGAAUGCCGAGUGUAGAGGUGAAAUUCGUAGAUAUUCGGCGGAACACCAGUGGCGAAGGCGACUCACUGGCCCGAUACUGACGCUGAGGCGCGAAAGCGUGGGGAGCAAACAGG